CCCAUCUCCCACCUGGUAAUGAAUGCCAUGACAGAUUGCUCACAUCAACCGGGAUCUACAGUAAGAGGGCCGAAACUUAAAGCGAGCUAUUGGAUGUCACAUGUUUCUCUGGCACUCCUCGGGGCCGCCAGCACCACUUGAAGAACCGGCGUGCACUGCUUAAAAUCUUUUUCUGAUGAGGAAACUGAGGCAUAAGGAGUUUUAGUGACUGCUGAUUCCUAAGACUUCCUGAUUUCCACAAAAGUCUGCAAUUCCAGGAAGGCUUAUCAUCGUUAUGAACUGUGACUUCCUCACCUGGCCAAGUCCAACACGAUGGGCAAAUAAACUGCCUCAAUA